rnacentral:rRNA from 1 species
GCUAAAAACUUAGCCUUANCCCUACAAUUAUAUUUACCCUAUUCUACUUACACAAAAUAAAACAUUCUUUAAGCUUAGUAAAGGAGAUAAAAAAGUUUUUUAGAGCUAUAAAAUUAGUACCGCAAGGGAAAAAUGAAAUAAAAAUGAAACAAAAUUCAAGCAUAAUAUAGUAGAGUUUUCCCCUCGUACCUUUUGCAUCAUGAUUCAACUAGUUUAACCACGCAAAAAGAAUUUAAGUUUGACUUCCCGAAACUAAGUGAGCUACUUCAGGGCAGCUAAAUGAGCCAACCCGUCUCUGUUGCAAAAGAGUGGGAUGACCCUUAAGUAGAGGUGAUAAACCUAACGAACUUAGUGAUAGCUGGUUAUUCAGAAAAAGAAUUUUAGUUCAACUUAAAAUUACAUAAAUAAAAUAAAAUAAAAUUUUAAUUUUAAAGCAAUUCAAAUAAGGUACAGCCUAUUUGAAAUAGAAUACAAUCUAAACUAUAGGGUAAAUAUAAAAAAUUAAUGUAAUAAAGUAGGCCUAAAAGCAGCCAACUUUAAAAUAGCGUCAAAGCUUACUUCCAUAAUUUUUUAAUACUAUUAUUUACAAUGAACCCUUUAUUUUUACUGAAUAUUUCUAUAAAGUUAUAGAACCUUUUAUGUUGAAACUAGUAACAAGAAGUUAAACUUCUCCUCAAUAUAAGUAUAAGUCGACUAGGAUAAACCAUCGACAAUUAACGCUUAAAUUAAAUGUAUUAACUCCACAAGAAAAACUUAUAUUACCCCACGUUAAUCUUACACCAGAACAUUUAAGGAAAGAUNNAAAAAA